AUACGUAGGGGGCGAGCGUUGUCCGGAAUGAUCGGGCGUAAAGGGCGCGUAGGCGGCCUGUUAAGUCUGGAGUGAAAGUCCUGUUUUCAAGAUGGGAAUUGCUUUGGAUACUGAUGGGCUUGAGUGCAGGAGAGGUUAUCGGAAUUCCCGGUGUAGCGGUGAAAUGCGUAGGGAUCGGGAGGAACACCAGUGGCGAAGGCGGGUAACUGGACUGCAACUGACGCUGAGGCGCGAAAGUGUGGGGAGCAAACAGGAUUAGAUACCCUGGUAGUCCACACUGUAAACGAUGAAUGCUAGGUGUAAGAGGUAUCGACCCCUUUUGUGCCGGAGUUAACACAAUAAGCAUUCCGCCUGGGGAGUACGGCCGCAAGGUUGAAACUCAAAUGAAUUGACGGGG
rnacentral:rRNA from 1 species